AGAAGGAGGAAGCUCCACAAAUCCCCUCUUUGGCGCGCCAGCGACAACUUAAAGCCCUCUUCCUACCCACCACCACUCCCGCUGUUUCAUCAGCCAGGCCGACGAAACACUGUGGGACGUCGAGUAAACGAUUUCGUCUUGCGUGCUCGCUUGGCGUAUACUUGUUUACGCGCCCUUCCCUCUUCCUCGUUUUUCUUAUUGGCUUUGCGCGUGUUGUGCAUCGCUCUGCACCUGUACACCAUCUCAGAGACACGCGCACACACCGACAGGCGUGAUAGGCCGAUAUAAACGACCUACCGCCGCCGCAGCAGCAGAGAAGCAAAGCAGAACGGCAACACCAAAACGAAGUAUACACACACACACACACACACACACACACACAGGGACCAUCAUGAAGACGUGCCAACGACGUGGUUGGGGCUGCGCGGUGCGACCGCCGCAGCUGCUGCUUCUCCGAUUUCUCGCCUUGAUUCUCCUGUUUCUGUGCGUGCACGCUGCUUGUGCCGAAGAAGCCGAAAUACAAGCGAACGCAUGGCUGAGCGCGCCGGCGUCGGUGUGGAGUGUCAUCGUGAGUGACCCGAGGACACACUUGGCCAUGAUUCAGGCGGUGACGGCAGAUUUCGUUUCUGCAAUUCGAGCUGCCGACAGCAAAGCAGUAGUCUUCGUGGCGUCUCUGAAACCCGUGACGCCGCAGAAGGCGCGGGCCAGUGGUCCGGCCUACGGGGCUUAUGCUCAGUUCACUGCGAGGACACGGUUAAGCAAGGAAGAGGUGCUUUGGGCGCUGCGCAGCUCCGAUCUUCGCACCAUCAACAAGAUCUUCCAGUCCGUGGGUUUCGACGCAGCGGUAGAGGCACUGGCGGCUGAUGGGCCGCCGUCCAUGCAAGCCGUCGGACCGGUGCUGCUGCCGGUGUCGGGGUCGACGUUUUUCUGGCAGCUGCUUCUCGGUACGCUCAUGACCCAAAAUGCUAUAAGCGUCGAUGCCUUCAUGUACCCACUGCAAAUGGACAUCCAGGACGCCGUGGACUCCACCCUGAGGAAUUACCUCAUCGAAGCAACUCCGUUGACAAACGAAGUGAACGUGUCGAGUUGGUACGUGUCGUACAACGUCUGGGCUUUCCCCGAAGCCGAGGUAACGCCGAGUACGCCGUCCGACCUCAGAGCGUUCGCGAUGAAGUCUAGGAUGCCUCUGUUUAACAGGUACAUGAAUACCGUGAUGGACACCUACCCGACUCUCAAGGCUUACUCGGACCUCCUCCCCACCACGGUGCACGCACGGACGCCGCCGCUUGGUAACCCAUUCGAAGGCAACGGCGCCAGUGACCCAGAUAGAAUCUUUGAGGUGCUGGCCAAUGAAACGGGCGAUUACCUUCUCGUGUUCAGCGGUGAUGCCGACAGGUGGGGCCAAGUGUGGGAGAAAAGCCGCGACGCCGUCUCGAAAUCGAUCGAGGAGGCGAUUGAGGACAGACUCCAUCGUCGCACCUUCCUGAACAGGGCCUUUGUUACCUCCGCCAAGACGUUGCCGAAUGAUUCGGUGAACGUUGGUGGACUGCAGGUGCUCUGCCGUGUUCUGCAGGGCAUAACGAUGAUCUCUCAUCACCCGUGGUCGCCUGAGGAGGUGUCACCGCUGCUGUUGCAGGCCAACUACAGCGCGACGCAAGCCCUCUACAUCUCGGGCGGCGGUCCGGUCGCGGAGUACACGAAGCGGCCACCUGCAACGGCAUCCCAGUCGAUUUUGUUGGCGGCUUCCUAUAAGGCCUCGCCGGGCUCGAUCGCCACAACAAGCAUCAGCUACGACUACAGAGUCCGGCUGAACAAAUAUAUAAUCGGGAUUAUUGUCAUGUCAGUCCUGAUCAUCGGCGCGUCUCUUGUCGCCAUCAUCAUCACGGUAAGUUUCUGCUGCUGCUGCCCGAAGCUCAUCGGCGGCGGCGCCGACAGGAAGCGCUCUGCGCUCUCGCACGCAAGCAUCGCCCCGUAACACGCGGAUGUGGAACGUCUCGCAGACAUUAGCAGCGCCCUGGCGCCUGGCGUUGGCGUGGGGGAUUCCAUGAAUGAUCCGAAGCGGGGCGGCGUGCGUGAGGAUGUGUCUUUCGACCCACCAAGUGGUAGUUCAUGUGCCGGAAGUCGGACUACUCAGAAGCGGCGUGCUUGCUCGCUGUGUCGGAUGAUCAGGGCGCAUCGAGCACGGACGCGACUGGCAAGAUCGCUUGCCUCAGCGGCGUUGUGGAGCCCAACGAGUCGUGCAAUGACCCGCUGGCCGCGGCCCCGGCCAGCGGUAUGCCGACGAAGGAGACAUGUGAACAGGGGCUCAAAGUCACCGCGCCGCCGGCGGGUAACAACGAGGACGACGCCGCCAGCACCAGCAGUACUCGUGCGCAGGGCCGCCGCCGAAGCUGAAUGCCGGGCGACGAGGCCGAUGCGGUACGGCGUACGCAAGUCGAUCCCUCUGCCCGCCGCUGCUGCCACCGGAGCGCCGGUGAAUGAGGCGGAGACUUCUGCUGACUCGCAGUUGAGGUUAAGUCAGCAGAGCUCGCCAAAUCCGUACAGCGCCGUCGACGCUAAGGCAGGAGGUGCCACCACCUGCCUGCCCUACUCAACGCCGUCUGACGACGAUCCUUGCUCUGUCAAAACUGACGAGCUGUGUAUCACCAGCGCCGGCCUAUUCAUCCCUCGGCUUCUACCGCGAUGCACCGAUCCUGCACGGGGCUGCGCCUCACUUGAGUUCUUCGCCGGAAGAGGAUGUCCGCCUCUGAGCAGACGUGCGAGCCUUUUCGGGGUUCACCACAUCCCUACACCGACACUCACCCCAUGCUAACACGUACAUGCGUGUUCAUUUGUGUGAGUGACCUAGGUAGCAUGAGUCAUGCACCUCAUCCACACUUAAGCCCCGCACUCUCUCCCAUUUUCUCGACCCCCUUUCCCCUCCCCAAACAGUAAGAUGGCGGGCUCAUAUAAACCGUCAAGCCGAGCAGGAGUAAGACGGAGGGGAACGGGGGAGGGGCGCUGAGACUCUGCAUGCUUCUUUCUUUUUGUUUGGCUUGGUUGGAUACAUUUCAUGUAAGCUCACUGCUCAUGUGGCCAAUCAUUUUCUCGUCAUCUUCCUUUUCUCACUCGGUCUCUGGCAUGCGCACGUGUACCUUCACACCCACAAACGUGAGUUUUCGAGAGAGCUGAGGUGGGUAGGGGAAGGGGGGCGGGGCGGGUGGAGGUCGCGUGGAAGGCGAACUUUUUCUCGCUCUCUCGUGAGUCGUCCAUGACUGAGAUGGAGUCCCUACGACAGAUCUGUGACGGUUAAGUCCUUCUCUUUUUUUUCAGUGUCUCGCUGUUAUGCUCUACUCACUUUCUGGCUUCUCUGCUGCUGCUGCUGUUCUCUCUCCCUCUCUUUCGCCUUCUUUCCGUCUUUGUGAACUGCCUUGCAGGGCACACCUGCACUUCAACUGCGUUUAUGGCCGCGUAUGUGUUCUGUGUCCGUGUAUGUGUGUGCCUGCAUGCGCCCCCCUCCCUCCCCUCCCCUUGCCUCUUUUCCUUUCCCUCCCCCUAUCUCUGUCUCUCUUCCUCAGACAUUUGCUUACCUUGUGUGUGUGUGUGCGUGUUUUGUGUAUAUUUCCCUUCGUUUUGUCGACCCGAUAUCCCUUUUGGCGUGCUCUUGACCUUGCCGUCCUUGCUUCCCUCAUGCACUCGCUUGAGCCUCGUGUUGGUGGGCUGUGCUCCCAUGUUGUCGUCUCCGCCCCAUCUCUUGGUGUUAGUGUUGUUGGUUUGUUUGUUUUCCUCUUCUUCCCCGGUUGCUUCCUUGUCUUGAUGUGGCAGAGUGGGCGGUGGCGAUCAUGUGCGCGCAUCUCUCGUCUCGGGCUCUCUGUCUCGCCCUAUGGGCGUAUGAGCGGCUGUGCUGCCUGCGUGUCUGUGUGUGUGUGUGAGGAGACUUACGAGCACUGGCGCGUGCUCAGCUGCGUGCGCUCUCACUCGGCUUCUUGCGCCUUGUCGUUUGUAUUGCAUGUGCGUAUGCGUGUAUGUAUAUAUAUAUAUGUGUGUGUGUGUGUGCGUGUGGUGCAAUACUUGCCGUGCGCCUCAUGCUGUGCUGUAUGCUUUGAUUGGCUGUAUGCGCUCUUGCAUUCAGCAUGGUAUUUUGCCUUACUUCUGUUUUUUUUUGUUUCGUCUUUCUUCGGGUGCACACGCCGACUGAUCUCGCCCCCCCCCCUCCCCCUUCCCCACCUCCCGCACACCGAAGACUGUGACCCCCUCUUUCUCUUUCUGCGUUAGCCUUUUGCUUCUUUCGUGGGCGUGGUCGCCGCUCGUGGCGCGCAUGGUAGCGCGGUGAAAGCCGUUGAGCAUGCUUGCCUAUGCGCGCUUCGGGCCUGAGCAGGGGAGGGUUUGUGGAACGAGCACCGUGGAUACCCCAUAGGCGAGCGAUGUAAAAGAGGGAGUGAGGUGCGCCUCGGUCCUGCUUUGCAGCACGUAUGUACGCGCCGCAGAGCUGCGUGGCCGUGCUCGGGCGCUGCAUACACCACUUCACGCAGACACAAACGCACCCGCACACGUUCACACGCACUGCUGCUCCCCAUACCUUCCUCUUACCGACAGCAGGCACUCUUUCCUUUUAUCUGUUUUUGUCAUCUUCGGCUUACCUUUUCAGCCCUUGGUUUGCUUGUGUGUUUCACAAACAAUCAAGUUCGAGUCCCUCGUCGCCCAUGCGCGGCUUCCAUCGUUCUCUACACAGGGACGGGAGAGAAAGGGGGAGGGGGGAGAGACAGCAACGAAGGACGUAUAUAUCUCCUGCCUGUCUCUGUCUCUCUUCACUUCGUCUGUGUAGGCAUGUGUGUGUCUCACUGUGGAUGUUUGCGUGGCCAUGCACUUUUUUGUGUGCUGAAGUCUGCGUGUGCGCGCGUUUGUGUGUGGGAGGCGGGAAGUCGGCGAAUCCGUGCCCGGGGCGCAGCUUUCACGGUGGGUUGCUGGUCCUUCACCACACACACCCACACACACACACAUCAGUGCGUGCCAUCUCGGGGUCCCGUUCAGCCCCCUUCCAACAACUUUCUGUGUGUGGGGCAGCCCAGCAGCCCUUUCCCCCAACCCCCUGCCGAUGCUGAGCCACCUUCCGGUGGUGACAGUUUGAAGCCCCGGACGGCGGCGCGUCGGAGCGACCUGCGCCAGCGCACACGUCUGUACCGUCCAGAUGAUGGGCAGCGUGUCAGCGUGGCUGGCGCGUAUCCCGCCCCCCGCCCUCGCACUGCCCACUGGUGCGGGGCCGGCGUGCCACCGCGUACGGGCUGCACCACGUGGGUGGCGACUGGUGGCACGAUGGGAGCGGCUGCGCGGCGGCCUGCGAGGCGGCGGGUGCUGUGUAGAGUUUGAGGCAGAGGCGGCGCUGGGCGGACUGAGUCGGCGCAUUGCUGUACCGCGUGUGCGCCUACGGCUGCAGUGCAGGGGGCGAUGGGGGCCUGUGGCAGGCCGGCGGGCGGGCGGCGGCUCGGGCGUGGCGUUGGCCGCACGCUUGUCUGGGCAGCGAGUGGGUGCGCUGAGGACGCCGGAGAAAGCAACUCCUGCCUCUCUCGGUCUUCCUUGUUUUCGUGGUUGCUUCCAUGCUGUGCGUGUGUCGCUGCUUCCGUCACCUUUUCCGCCUAUGGGCUUUGUCGUUGUCUCAUCUGCCGGGCGGUGAUGAGGAGAUGAGGCUCGAUACCUCGCCUCCCGGCCCUCCUCUUGAAUGAUUCUCCCAAGCAGGAAGCUUCCUCAUCUCUGCUAUGAGCAGCACUUGUCAUGGCGAUGCAGCAGCAUCCGGUAGCUUCCUUUCUGAAAAGCCCAAGCGAGGGACGCUAGAUCGGUUCGCGAGACUUGCAGGCGCAUUCGGUACGAGGAUCGGACAGCGUAGGCCACGAGUACAUGCCCUCACAUGCAAGAGGGCGACAAUUCCGAGCGGGGGGGGUGCGAUGUUAUACUCGCGUUUGCUAUCCUUUUCUUUCCUCGCCUUCUCUUGCUGUUUUGAUCAAGGUUUAAUCCUCUGUUGUGGUUUCUUGUGUUGAACUCUUUUCCGGCUCUCUUGCUUUGCUGCUCUUCACGCCUAAGCGCUCUCGUGCUGUCUCGCGCUGUCGGUUUCCUGGUAGGCAUGUUCAUAGGAUAUAUGUAUUCGGCACGUGUCUGUAUGCAGACAGGUAGAGAUGCACACCUACGCGCCUCUUCUUACCUUCGCCCCACUCGCACAAAGUAAGCAGUUGCGUAACGCGCGUUCGGCGGUGAUGGCCUCUGUUUUUCUUUGUAUGCUCAUUUCUCUGCUUCGCCUUCUCUCUCUUGUGUGCCGUUUCGGCCUGCUUGACGCCGUCACGACAGAUACGUGUAGGAAGGAGAUGAGCUGCAGCUUGCCACAUGUGCCGAUGGCAAUUCUGCUCGCUCCGACGCAACAACAAGAAACAAAAAGAAAACAGUAACAGUACAAAGAAAACAAAGAGAUGCGUGUGGUCCUGCCCUCCUCACCCUCUCUGGCACGCUUCACGCAUGCGCAUCGUUGCACAGGCACGCCUUUCCAUCUUUCCGUGCGUGCACGUGCUCCUCUGUUGGGAUGUGUGUUUUCAUAUGCCCGUGGCAUACAUCAAGGGUCUUCUUGCUUAAAAAUAAAUGUAUAUAUAUAUAUGUACAUUUACGCAUAUAUGACUGGAUAUAUGUCUAUAUCCAUAUCUAAUUUAUGUCUAUAUAUAAAGCUAUACCUAUACGCACACGCACUCGCACACCUACGCACACGUAUAUAAAUAUAUAGGAAUGCGUAGAGAUGAGUGCUUGCUCCCGUAUUAUGAUGAUGCCUUCUUCCUCGUAUUUACGUCACAUUUUGUUUUGUUUAUUAUGUUAUUUAUUGUUUGCUGCUGCGAAGGUCAUCGCGUAUGGCACUCUUCUUAUACAGUGCCACGUGCGUUGCCUCCGCCAUUUCCCUUUUACACAUCUCAUCAAUUUUUUUUUUGUUUCGCAGUGUGUGCCUCCACGUCUGCACCAGCACUUCUCUCUCGCUCUCUCUUUCUUCCAAGGUGCAUAUGCUUUCUGCCUUCUUCGCCCACUCAGCGCCCCUCCCCCUCUCUUUUUAUCUUUCAAGCCGAUACUUGGCAAGAAGACCUGCCUUUGUGCGUGCGCUUCAUGAGAGCUGAAGAGCAAGGGAUAUGCAGUGCAAGUGCAAGACUCUUUUCUAUCCACGCACGCGCACAGACGCACAGACACGAGAAAACGAUGAGGGGUGCACCGAUGGUAAUGAACGUAACCGGAAUCCUUAAACUGAUGGUCGCCCGGUACAGGCACGAUGUCAUGUGCUGGGCAGCAACAAGAAAAUGCCAACGGUUCGCUGGUGAAGGUUGUGGGGCGUGCAGGUAGCGCCUC
rnacentral:misc_RNA from 1 species